rnacentral:lncRNA from 1 species
AAGAAAUUCCCGGGCCCUGGCUUCUUGGCCUGAUGGCACUGCUAGCCUUGAAGCCUCCAGCCUGCUGGAUGCCUCCAUCCCCGGCUAUGCUGUGGCUCUCCUCAUUCUAGGCCUCCUGCUCGUCACAUUCACCCUUGUCCUGGUGCUAAAGUGGAGGGCCUCCCAUGGGGUGUUCAGCCUGGGUGUGUAGAAGCACACAGUGUGGUACAGAGGACCCUCUCCAGACAGGUGACCCCUCAUGCUGCUGCUCCCUCUGCUGAAACCCAAACUGCAAACCUCUCCUCUCCCUGCCUUCACCUUGCCCCACGGCUUCCACAGACAGUGCCUCAACCCCGAGGAAUGAAUCCGAAGUUCCAACACCACUGACUUUCCCAGGAACUCAGAGCCAGAGAGGGCCAAGGACCAGCUCGAGGACACACAGCCAGGGCUUCUUCCCUCCGAAACCCCCAAGGACUGGACUUGCAGGGCUGGGACAGAGGUGGGGUGGGGGAAAGCAAUGCCUUGUCAACCCACGUGGGGAGCCCCACUCCCAUCCCCAAGGUGCAUAAAGUUGAGGAACACCCCUGCUCCCACGUCCAUGCUCAUUCAGGGCCCUGCUCCAAGUGCUUGGC